AAAGUGCGACAAGUGUCAUGACUUGCAGAUUCCCGAGAGCUGACAAAUUUCUGAAUGCAAAUUGCAGCCAACUUAAACUGGCUAUGUAUUGCAGAGAGUUCUGCGCUUAUGCGCUCCAUCCAAUUGGUGUGUUAUUCCACCAACUGGGACAUGCGAUUGCGUGCAAGAUGAUUCUCACAUCAUCCGACCGUGUACAGCAGAAUUUCUCUGUGCAUGAAUCCGCGAUCGUGAAAGGAAGGAAACAUUUAUGUGUUUACCUUGGAACCCAUGAGCAAACAACAACUUACUUAUGAAAACUCUUCCAACCUCUGCAAUGCAGGAGAACCCGCUGAACUUAA
rnacentral:misc_RNA from 1 species